UAUAUCUACAUAUCAUUUCAACACAUUAUUCGAAAACUCUUAUUUUACUUUCCCACUUCAGAUGAUUUCAUGUCCUGCAUAUAACGAGCAAUAAGAUGAUUUCCGUCAGGCGUAAAAGCAAGUGCAUUUAUAAAUCCUGGUAUUUUAACUUCAAACAGCGGAUUUAACGAUCUAAAUGCUUCGCCGCAUUGCCACAGUUUAAUGCUGCCGUCUCGCGAACCUAAAGAUCACAAACAAUAUUGAAGAAAAAUACAGCGCUUGGUUAUUAGUUUCAUCCUUCCCAUGCGCCUCCGUCACAGUGCACAACGGUUUCUUCUUUAAAGAGCUCCAGACGCAGAGUUGUCCGUCGCUGCCACAGCUGAAGAAAUUUUCCUCAUUAAUGAGUUUAACCUCGUCGAUGGAAUUAUUGCUAUGUCCAUUGAAUAUCAGUUGCGAUUCUUCGACUAUUUUCCAUAUCCUGAUACUACUAUCGAAACCGCUUGUGACGGCACGCUCUCGUGAGAGCGCAUCGAUGGACGUGAUGCCACCCUGAUGUCCAAAGCUGUAAAGAAAAAUAUAAUGGUUAGAAAGAAACUAUUUGAAAAUACUAACGAUAAAAAUGCAUGCACAGUCAUGUUUGCAAAUACAAUCGCUCACAAAGAUUCAACAUAAGCCAUAUCAUCCAGGUUCCAAACUUUUAUACUCCUAUCAGUAGAAGCAGAGUACAAAGUGUGAGUGUUCUUGCGAAAUACCAAUCCAGACACAGAACCUCUAUGACC